UGCCCGAUUUCAAUUUUUUUGUCAAAUAAGUUCCUAUUUUGAUAAUAGCCCCCUUAAAACUUGAUCAUUCAUAUUUUCAAUUUAUAGUUCUUGCCUCUAGUAAGUCAAUACUAAUAAAUUUGAUCAUACAUAUUGUCGAGUUUCUCGUUUGUCUAUGUAUGAACUUCAGAGAAAUAUGUUAUUGGUUGGAGUCUUGUAGAAUGAUCUUUGACUAAUUUUACAGCAUUCUUUUCUUUCUUACAAAUAGUGAAAUAAACAUUUAUAUCUUUUUAAUAUUAGAUUUUUUUUUCUCUUUGCAUGAAAUCAACGUUGAUAUGAUUGUGAUGUACAAUUCUGGUCGCUG